rfam:Schistosoma curassoni strain Dakar, Senegal genome assembly, scaffold: SCTD_scaffold0001670
AUCCAGCUGACGAGUUCAAAAUUAUAUGAAACGCGUGUCAUGGAU